GCCGUCGUUGUGUAGCGGUCAGCACACUCGGCGCGCAUUCGAGAGGUCCGUGGUUCGAAUCCCGUUGAAGGCA
rnacentral:tRNA from 1 species